rnacentral:tRNA from 1 species
AGUUCCAUGGUGUAAUGGUCAGCACUCUGGACUCUGAAUCCAUUAAUCCGAGUUCAAGUCUCGGUGGAACCU